UACGGAGGGUGCGAGCGUUAAUCGGAAUCACUGGGCGUAAAGCGCGCGUAGGCGGCUUUUCAAGUCAGGGGUGAAAUCCCACGGCCCAACCGUGGAACUGCCUUUGAAACUGUAGAGCUUGAGUGCUGGAGAGGCAAUCGGAAUUCCGUGUGUAGCGGUGAAAUGCGUAGAUAUACGGAGGAACACCAGUGGCGAAGGCGGAUUGCUGGACAGUAACUGACGCUGAGGCGCGAAAGCGUGGGGAGCAAACAGG
rnacentral:rRNA from 1 species